rnacentral:misc_RNA from 1 species
GCUACUGCCAUUGCCAACGACCCUGUGCAACAUGGCAAAACCAAGUAUAUCUUGGUUAAAUUUCAUGCAAUCAGAAAGGUCAAAAGGAAUCAUGAAAUGAAGCUCAUCCAUUGUAAGUAAGAGCAACAAGUUGCUGAUAUCCUCAUUGAGCCUCUUUCAAGAAGCAGAUUUGAAGCUCUUAGAGACCAGCUGGUAGUCUCUAAGAAAACUCUCAUGGAGAAGUGUUGAGACUGAGAGUUUUCUGAAGAGAGUUCCAGAUUUAAUUAGAAGUUAAUGGUGUGUUUUGUUCUUGGCUUGAGUAGAAGUAGAAGAUUCUAGUUUACUUAGUGGUGUCAUGUCAAGAUAAGUUAAUCAUGAAUUAAGUGACAAGGUGUGUGGUUAUGCUUAGUUUAGAUGAAAAAUGGGAGCUCUUAGAAAAGCUAAUGUUAUUUUGUAUAUUUAUCAGGAAAUUCUAACAGAAAGUCUCUUGUAAUUUUCUGUUUUCUGAUUUUGUUUCACUUCAUCUUGCUCUUGUUUCUGGGUUGUUUUGCUUUUUUGAGUUUCAUUUCUAUCAGUCACAAAGCCACUCAGUUGAUUCAAGCCAAACGCUCAAAAGCCUCCUUCCAAUAAUAGGUGAUAGGAUCUUAAGUAG